rnacentral:rRNA from 1 species
GGUGAUCCACCUCUUCCCAUCCCGAACAGAGAAGUUAAGCCCGUUAGCGCCGAUGGUACUGCCGAUAGGUGGGAGAGUAGGUCGAUGCCGAAU